UACGGAGGGGGCAAGCGUUGUUCGGAAUUAUUGGGCGUAAAGCGUAUGUAGGCGGCUGGAUAAGUCAGACGUGUAAGCCCACGGCUCAACCGUGGAAUUGCGUUUGAAACUAUCCGACUUGAGUGCAGGAGAGGAAAGCGGAAUUCCCAGUGUAGCGGUGAAAUGCAUUGAUAUUGGGAAGAACACCGGUGGCGAAGGCGGCUUUCUGGUCUGACUCUGACGCUGAGGUGCGAAAGCGUGGGGAGCAAACAGGAUUAGAAACCCCGGUAGUCC
rnacentral:rRNA from 1 species